rnacentral:lncRNA from 1 species
ACAAACUAAUUAAGUUUAAAAGAUUUAUCCUGUAAAUUAUUUUUUAGCUCUAUUUUUAGUUUUAUAAAUAGUAUAUAUAUUUAAUGCUCUCUAUGCAUGUAUCCAAAAUAUGAUAGGUGUUAAAAAAAUUCCGAAGUAAGCAAACAGGCCUCGCAGCAUCGCCGGUGCUCGACAUGAUGACCAUAAUAAAAAACAUUUAGCACGCGCAAAAUUGCGCCUCACGAUCGAUCAAGCAAAAACUGAAAGCUAGCCGUGCUCAACAGAGUACUCACUGCUAAUGUGUUGACCUCGUCAAUCAUCAAUCGGGUCUUGCUUGCCUUGUUUAGUUCACCUUAAAAAUCAAAAAAAAAAUUCAAGAUUUCUUAUCACAUCGAAUCUUGCAACACAUGUAUGGAGUAUUAAAUAAUGAUGAAAAUAAAAAUUAAUUGUAUAGUUUGUCUGUAAAUCGCGAGACGAAUUUUUUAAAUCUAGUUACUUCAUAAUUUGACAAUAUUUAUCAAAAAAAUAAAAGUGAUAUAAUAUGAAAAUCUAAAAAAAAUAGAUCUAAACAAGGCCUUACGAAAGCAGAGACGCCAUCUGAAUACGGCCGACAGGAAUGCGUGGCGUGAUGGCUCCACUGGUGUGUAGGAGUAUGUACAUGUGUAGUGCUCGGUCGAUUCACCGCAUCUCAACGACCCCGCUGGACUCGAUCGGCAGUUAUAGCGACGGUUCCUCCAUUUGUCAAAAAGGUUAGAAUUAGAUAUAGGCUUAUAGCCAUAUAGGGCGCUCGGCAGUUGGCACUAACACUC